rnacentral:tRNA from 1 species
UGGAGUAUAGCUUAAUUGGAAGAUCGGCGGUCUCCAAAACCGUUUAUAUAGGUUCGAUUCCUAUUGUUCCAG